GCCCUACGCGCAGCAUCUCUGGGCUCUCAGAGCCCACCCCGGACUCCUGCUCAAGCUCGAGGCGCCAUCACGGGCCGCAGGAGCCCUGGUAGCCGUUUGGGGUCUCUGAGCCCCUCUCCUCGCCGUCCUCCUCCUUGGAAGGUCACCUCUACCUGCAGUUGUCACCUGGAGGGAGGGGUUUCUGAGCCUCGAGGUUUGGUGAGGAAGAGGAGGACCCUUGGGAGGUGUUAAAGCUGUUCGUCCUUUGAAGGAAGAGCCUGUGGUCAACCCUAGACGCUGAACUGCUGCUCAACUAGGCCAUCAAGGCAAUCGCUCUGCCUCUGUGCAAUACCGUUUGAACCCAUGAAGGUCUGCUGGCACUUGGAUUGCACCCCCACUGUGUUCUGGGGAUGUCUCUGCCUCAAGAAUCUUCCAAAGCUCUGCUGUUGUCUUUUGAGCAGACAGAGCAGAGCCAGCGGGGCGAGCCGGCCAUCACUUCGCAGGCCUCAGCAGCUCCCAGCUCCUGCUUUCUCCUCACACCCCUCUCAACACAAACAUGCCCCCAAAGCUGCACCCCCCAUGCCCCAUACACCCUGUCAGUCUCUGGAGCAGUUUGCAUCACUUCUGACAAUUCAACAGACCUUGGUGAAGCUUCCACUGAGGCACCUGCCUCCCUGUUUGUAAGAGAACAAAGGGUUUUAAACCUUCUGUGCAGUUCCUGCCACUCAGGUCUUAGUGACCUUUAUCUGACUUGAUUUGUAGACACACCAAGUUUAGAGGUAUUUUAAUUUUACUUACACUAAUAUAUUUCAUACUCAACUCUGCUUAAUUUCUUAGCUAUUGCAUAAAAAUGCUUUUAAUACCAAAGACAUUAACUCAUUAGAUGGAACCAAAAAAUGAAACAUGGAUCAAGUUAAGUAUCACACAAUUCACAUAAUAUCUUAAAUUUUAAUUUUAAAAAAAAG
ensembl:lncRNA